AUUGAACGCUGGCGGCAUGCCUUACACAUGCAAGUCGAACGGCAGCGGACCUUCGGGUGCCGGCGAGUGGCGAACGGGUGAGUAAUAUAUCGGAACGUACCUUUCAGUGGGGGAUAACGUAGCGAAAGUUACGCUAAUACCGCAUAUUCUGUGAGCAGGAAAGCAGGGGAUCGCAAGACCUUGCGCUGAUUGAGCGGCCGAUAUCAGAUUAGCUAGUUGGUGAGGUAAAGGCUCACCAAGGCGACGAUCUGUAGCGGGUCUGAGAGGACGAUCCGCCACACUGGAACUGAGACACGGUCCAGACUCCUACGGGAGGCAGCAGUGGGGAAUUUUGGACAAUGGGCGCAAGCCUGAUCCAGCCAUGCCGCGUGAGUGAAGAAGGCCUCGGUU
rnacentral:rRNA from 1 species